GGGGGUGCCCGGUUUUGACAGCAGGUAGAGUUCGAUUGUAAGCACGUCGAGCAUUGUGUGGUGGCUCGUAAAUAUCAACACUCAAACUACAAAUGGCAAUAACAGCUAUGCACUCGCUGCCUAAUUUUCAAGGAAAAUUGGCUUAAUCGCCGGGCUCAAGGCAGUCCGGUGACGAGUAUCCCGAAGCGCUGUUCCGCCCUUUAACGGCGUUUCAUACGGGGUAUCAACAAUUCAGGGAUAGCGUCGCGUGAGUCCCGAACGCGAUGCGAAAUCAAGGGACUGGGACCCGUGUUAGGCUGCCGCCUGCCGGAUACGGGUAGAAGGACGAAACGGUCGGCUAAACGUGUAGAAAGCUUUUGGGUUCCUUGUUUGGACGCGGGUUCGACUCCCGCCACCUCCAC
rnacentral:tmRNA from 1 species